rfam:Lutibaculum baratangense AMV1 contig00016, whole genome shotgun sequence.
GGGGGUGUAGCUCAGUCGGUUAGAGCGCUGGCCUGUCACGCCAGAGGCCGCGGGUUCGAGUCCCGUCACUCCCG